rnacentral:snRNA from 1 species
AUCGCUUCUCGGCUCUCUGAGCUAAGAUCAAAGUGUAGUAUCUGUUCUUAUCAGCUUAAUAUCUGAUACAGUCCCCAUAGGGGACUCAGAAUAUUAAACUGAUUUUUGCAACCAGGCGGGGUUCCGGGGCUUGCUCCGACCCUACCGCGGGUCAACCCGACAUUGCAGUACCGUCGGGACUGGCCCAAUAAAU